rnacentral:rRNA from 1 species
GUAAGGAAUAUUGGUCAAUGGAGGGAACUCUGAACCAGCCAUCCCGCGUGCAGGAUGAAGGGGCUCUGCCCUGUAAACUGCUUUUGAAUGGGACGAAAAAGCCUCACUUGUGAGGAACUGACGGUACCAUUAGAAUAAGCACCGGCUAACUCCGUGCCAGCAGCCGCGGUAAUACGGAGGGUGCAAGCGUUAUCCGGAAUCACUGGGUUUAAAGGGUGCGUAGGCGGUUGUAUAAGUCAGUGGUGAAAGGCCGUAGCUUAACUAUGGGAUUGCCAUUGAUACUGUAUGACUUGAAUGAGGUUGAGGUUGGCGGAAUGUGGCAUGUAGCGGUGAAAUGCUUAGAUAUGCCAUGGAACAUCGAUUGCGAAGGCAGCUGACUGGACCUGAAUUGACGCUGAGGCACGAAAGCGUGGGGAGCGAACAGGAUUAGAAACCCCAGUAGUCC